rnacentral:rRNA from 1 species
AGAGUGAACGCUGGCGGUAGGCCUAACACAUGCAAGUCGAACGGCAGCACAGUGGUAGCAAUACCAUGGGUGGCGAGUGGCGGACGGGUGAGGAAUACAUCGGAAUCUACCUUUUGGUGGGGGAUAACGUAGGGAAACUUACGCUAAUACCGCAUACGCCCUUCGGGGGAAAGCCGGGGACCUUCGGGCCUGGCGCUGAUAGAUGAGCCGAUGUCGGAUUAGCUAGUUGGUGAGGUAAUGGCUCACAAGGCGACGAUCCGUAGCUGGUCUGAGAGGAUGAUCGAGCCACACGUAGGAACUGGAGACC